rnacentral:rRNA from 1 species
AUUACCCAAUAGGACACCGUGAGGUAGUGACAAGAAAUAACAAUACAGGGCUUUAAGCUUUGUAAUUGGAAUGAUGGGAAUCCAAACCCCUUCCAGAGUAUCAAUUGGAGGGCAAGUCUGGUGCCAGCAGCCGCGGUAAUUCCAGCUCCAAUAGCGUAUAUUAAAUUUGUUGCAGUUAAAAAGCUCGUAGUUGAACUUCUGCCGCCGGGACUUCGUUCCCUUCGGGGCUUCGUUUUCUCGGUGGCAUCCCUCUGGUUAAUUUGGGCCUCGGCCCUCUUUUUCCAGUUUUUACUUUGAGAAAAUUAGAGUGUUUCAAGCAGGCUUUUGCCUUGAAUACUUCAGCAUGGAAUAAUAAAGUAGGACUUUGGUUCUAUUUUGUAGGUUUCAGGACCAAAGUAAUGGUUAAUAGGAGCAGUUGGGGGCAUUCGUAUUUAA